GUAGUCCACGCCGUAAACGAUGCGCACUAGGUAUGAGAGGCUCUGACGCCGAUCGUGCCGCAGACAAAUUGAUAAGUGCGCCGCCUGGGGAGUACGGCCGCAAGGCUAAAACUCAAAGGAAUUGACGGGGGCUCACACAAGCGGUGGAGCAUGUGGAUUAAUUCGAAGCAACGCGAAGAACCUUACCUGGGUUUGACAUGUACGGAUGCCCUUCUGGAAACAGGAGUAAGUUACCUUCGGGUGAAACGUACACAGGUGCUGCAUGGCUGUCGUCAGCUCGUGCUGUGAAGUGUCGGGUUAAGUCCCUCAACGAGCGAAACCCCUAUCACUAGUUACCAGCGGGUCAAGCCGGGGACUCUAGUGAGACCGCCGGCGUCAAGCCGGAGGAAGGUGGGGACGACGUCAAGUCAUCAUGGCCUUUAUGUCCAGGGUGUCGCACGUGCUACAAUGGCUACUACAAAGCGAAGCGAGACCGCGAGGUGGAGCAAAUCGCAAAAAGGUAGCCUCAGUUCGGAUUGGAGUCUGCAACUCGACUCCAUGAAGUUGGAAUCGCUAGUAAUCGCGCAUCAGCCAUGGCGCGGUGAAUGUGUUCCUGAGCCUUGUACACACCGCCCGUCAAGUCAUGGGAGCUGGGAGUACCCGAAGUCCGUUUAGCUAACCCGCAAGGGAGGCGGCGGCCGACGGUAAACCCG
rnacentral:rRNA from 1 species